UCAGAUGCGAAAGCGUGGGUAGCAAACAGGAUUAGAUACCCUGGUAGUCCACGCCGUAAACGCUGUCUACUUGGAGGUUGAGGUUUUAGACUUUGGCUUUCGGCGCUAUCGCAUUAAGUAGACCGCCUGGGGAGUACGGCCGCAAGGUUAAAACUCAAAUGAAUUGACGGGGGCCCGCACAAGCGGUGGAGCAUGUGGUUUAAUUCGAUGCAACGCGAAGAACCUUACCUACUCUUGACAUCCAGCGAAGCCUUUAGAGAUAGAGGCGUGCCUUCGGGAGCGCUGAGACAGGUGCUGCAUGGCUGUCGUCAGCUCGUGUUGUGAAAUGUUGGGUUAAGUCCCGCAACGAGCGCAACCCUUAUCCUUGUUUGCCAGCACAUAAUGGUGGGAACUCCAGGGAGACUGCCGGUGAUAAACCGGAGGAAGGCGGGGACGACGUCAAGUCAUCAUGGCCCUUACGAGUAGGGCUACACACGUGCUACAAUGGCAGAUACAGAGGGCAGCGAGACAGCGAUGUUUAGCGAAUCCCUUAAAGUUUGUCGUAGUCCGGACUGGAGUCUGCAACUCGACUCCAUGAAGUCGGAAUCGCUAGUAAUCGUGGAUCAGAAUGCCACGGUGAAUACGUUCCCGGGCCUUGUACACACUGCCC
rnacentral:rRNA from 1 species